AAAGGGGCAACCUGAGUAAAGUGGCGUACGGGUGAGUAACACGUGGGUAAUCUACCUCUUAGUGGGGAAUAACCUGGGGAAACCCGGGCUAAUACCGCAUAAGCUCGAGAGAGGAAAGCAGCUAUGCGCUGAGAGAGGAGCCCGCGGCCGAUUAGCUAGUUGGCAGGGUAAAAGCCUACCAAGGCAGAGAUCGGUAGCCGGCCUGAGAGGGCACACGGCCACACUGGCACUGAAACACGGGCCAGACUCCUACGGGAGGCAGCAGUGGGGAAUCUUGCACAAUGGGGGAAACCCUGAUGCAGCGACGCCGCGUGAGCGAUGAAGCCCUUCGGGGUGUAAAGCUCUUUCGGCAGGGAAGAUGAUGACGGUACCUGCAGAAGCAGCUGCGGCUAACUACGUGCCAGCAGCCGCGGUAAUACGUAGGCAGCGAGCGUUGUUCGGAGUUACUGGGCGUAAAGGGUGUGUAGGCGGUUCUUUAAGUUUGGUGUGAAAUCUCCCGGCUCAACCGGGAGGGUGCGCCGAAUACUGAGGGACUAGAGCGCGGGAGAGGAAAGUGGAAUUCCUGGUGUAGCGGUGAAAUGCGUAGAUAUCAGGAGGAACACCGGUGGUGUAGACGGCUUUCUGGACCGUAACUGACGCUGAGACACGAAAGCGUGGGUAGCAAACAGGAUUAGAUACCCUGGUAGUCCACGCCCUAAACGAUGCAUAUUUGGUGUGGGUCAUUCAGUUGAUCCGUGCCGGAGCUAACGCGUUAAAUAUGCCGCCUGGGGAGUACAGUCGCAAGGCUGAAACUC
rnacentral:rRNA from 1 species